rnacentral:rRNA from 1 species
GAUGAACGCUGACAGAAGGCUUAACACAUGCAAGUCAACUUGAACUUCGGUUGGGGUGGCGGACGGGGGAGUAACGCGUAAAGAACUUGACGCACAGCUAGGGACAACAUUUGGAAACGAAUGCUAAUACCUGAAAGUAGGAGCUUAGGGCAUCCUAGAAGUAUGAAAGCUAUAUGCGCUGUGAGAGAGCUUUGCGGCCCAUUAGCUAGUUGGAGAGGUAACGGCUCACCAAGGCGAUGAUGGGUAGCCGGCCUGAGAGGGUGAACGGCCACAAGGGGACUGAGACACGGCCCUUACUCCUACGGGAGGCAGCAGUGGGGAAUAUUGGACAAUGGACCAAGAGUCUGAUCCAGCAAUUCUGUGUGCACGAUGAAGUUUUUCGGAAUGUAAAGUGCUUUCAGUUGGGAAGAAAAAAAUGACGGUACCGACAGAAGAGGUGACGGCUAGAUACGUG